rnacentral:lncRNA from 1 species
AAAACGAGGCAGAGAAGUUUGGCUGCUGUAACUGACUGGGAAGCUUAAAAUAACAGACAAUCAUCUCUCACAUUUAUGGGGACUGGGAAGUCCAAGACCAAGUUGCCAUCUGGGGAGGGCCUGUUCCUCACAGCGCCUUCCAGCUCAGGCCUCGUUUAUAAGGGCACUCAAGCCUUCCACGACAACGGGUCCUCAUGACUUACUCACCUCGGAAAGCCCCACCCCCAAGACCAUCACAUUGUGGGUGAUGGCAGAGCAUAAGGUGCCUUCCCCACAUGCUCGGGUUGGCCCAGCGUCUCACGCUAGCAGCUACGUGGAAUAGUUAUUUUUUCUGGAGAACUCUGGGACCCCUCUGAUGUCUUGGAGCACCCACACAGGCCGUUCACUGUGCACGCUGUGAGGCUGUCGUCUUGGAGCACCCACACAGGCCGUUCACUGUGCACGUGGUGAGGCUGUCCUCUGGGGAGUUCUGCUGUUGUAUGGGUUCUGUCUGUGUCAAUGUCCCAGCGGGAACGCAGGGCACACUAGCGUCAUCCCCAGAGGGCUUGGUAAGGGGACUGUUUGCAGAGACAUAGGCAGAGGGCUGGAAAACUACCAAAAAAGUGCAGUGUUCUGGACCUAAUAAUAGCAGAGCUAUUCUCACCCUGGUCUGAAGGCAGGAGGGGAGGAGCAGUUAAUGGAUUCUGGAAGUCAGGUUGCACAGAGUCACCUUGAAAGAUGCCAUGACCUUCACCGAGGGCCAGACAGAGACUAAGAUGACCCCAUAGGAGAAUAAGACCUAGACCUCAUCCUCCUGCCUCCUGCCAGUCCCUGCCAGGGGUCGCCAAUGGCAAAACAGGACUGGAAGCCAGAGGCCAUGGAAGCCCAUGGAUGAAGUCCACAGGCCAGCCUCCCCGAGAGCAGCCUGGACGGUCCGCAGGAGACGUCUCCUGUCUUAGGCGUCCCACGCCGCGUGCUCCUGUUCAGCCCUGCCGAGGUGGAAGCUUGGAGUGGCUCACGGUGGAUGCAUUGACGCUGCAGACGCCAGCAAGUGCUACAAACCAGAGCUGGCCUUUAACUCAGACUGAUGGAGAAGGUGUUAAUAAUGCAGAUUAGACUUAAAAGUGUUGAAGCCAUUGCACUGUGAACAGCAAAAAAAUUGAAGAACUCUUCUGGCAUUUAAAAACAAUUACUCAGUUCAGCAGAGAAGUCACUGACAAACGAGAUCACACUGACUGCUUUGUCGUUUUGGUUUUGUCUUACUCAUUAAUGCAAAUAAGAACAUUCACUAGCAUCUGUGUCGGGCCUACCCUCCCUGGUCAAAUACAGCUACAGUCUCCCUGCAGAAACGAGUUUUCCAGAAAUGAGCCGAUGUUUUCUGCGAGAAUCAAUUGGUCAUAUACAAUUUACAAAAAUGAGUACUGUAUACUAUAUUUGUAAACUGUACACUGCAGAUGCUUUAUUUCACUGAAAUUUAUAAUACACUUAUCCAUGUAUAUGCAUGCAUGCAUUUUUGUUCCUGAGAUCCAGCUGUGAAAUGUUUACCAGCACAUAAAUUACCAGCACAUGCUCUUUUUUGUUAACCUACUAGGUAAAAUCUUCAUUUAUUACAUCAAAUUCUUGUAGUUUUUGUAUUGCAAUUAUGCAGAUAUUGAUUAUCGCAGUAUUACUGCAAUUAUACAGAUACCACAAUUUCAGAUAUUGAUCAGCGUGUUCAGUUGGUUUCUAAGGAGGUUUACUUACCUCAUGGUACACCUAGUUUGCAUAGUUUGAUUAUAUUUAACUCUUAUGCUAAUUGGGGGAAGUCAUUGAUUUAUUGGACAGAUGCACCUGUGGUCUUCCCUGAGCACAUCCUGGCCAAGGAUGCUGCCCCCAGGAGAUUUGAGAAGUCCUGUAAGGAUCAUAUCAGUAUUUUCAAAUACUUAUAGAAAAGCCAGAGGGAUUGACCCAGAAUUACCAAUAUAAGCUUGACCCUGAGAUAACAAUGCCAUUUUAUGUUUGCAUGCAUAAAACCAAUGCAAGAGGCUGAUGACUCCAGAUCCCUUAUAUAAGCC